rnacentral:rRNA from 1 species
GACGAACGCUGGCGGCGUGCUUAACACAUGCAAGUCGAACGGGAAGGCCCUGCUUUUGUGGGGUGCUCGCGUGGCCAACGGGUGAGUAACCCGUGAGUAACCUGCCCUUGACUUUGGGGUAACUUCAGGAAACUGGGGCUAAUACCGGAUAGGUGCUCCUGCUGCGUGGUGGGGGUUGGAAAGUUUCGGCGGUUGGGGAUGGACUCGCGGCUUAUCAGCUUGUGGGUGGGGUAGUGGCUUACCAAGGCUUUGACGGGUAGCCGGCCUGAGAGGGUGACCGGCCACAUUGGGACUGAGAUACGGCCCAGACUCCUACGGGAGGCAGCAGUGGGGAAUAUUGCACAAUGGGCGGAAGCCGGAUGCAGCAACGCCGCGUGCGGGAUGACGGCCUUCGGGUUGUAAACCGCGUUCGCCUGUGACGAAGCGUGAGUGACGGUAAUGGGUAAAGAAGCACCGGCUAACUACGUG